rnacentral:rRNA from 1 species
UAUAAGUAGCGAGAAUUAAGUGAGAAUCUUAAUGGCCGAAAGUCUAAGGUUUUUGGAGGAAGGUUCGUCCGCUCCAAGUAAGUCGGGAGCUAAGGUCAGGCCGAAAGGCGUAGCCGAUGCACAUACGGUUGAUAUUCCGUAACCAUCUGUAAUUUAAGCAAAGGGACACUUCAAAAGGGUGUGACCCGGGCGUUGGUUGACCCGGGCGUAAGGGACCGAAAUUAGAGUAGGGAAGCACACUUAGCUGAAGGCGAGAAAAGCUUUGCGUAUAGAAACAGAUGCCCGUACCGCAAACCGACACAGGUGGACAGGAAGAGAAUUCUAAGGCCAGCGGGAGAAGGGUAGUUAAGGAACUCGGCAAAUUGACUCCGUAACUUCGGAAUAAGGAGUGCUCGAAAGAGCCGCAGAGAAUAGGCCCAGGCGACUGGUUAGCAAAAACACAGGUCUCUGCCAAAUCGAAAGAUGAAGUAUAGGGGCUGACACCUGCCCGGUGCCGGAAGGUUAAGAGGAGGAGUGAGAGCUCCGAAUUGAAGCCCCGGUAAACGGCGGCCGUAACUAUAACGGUCCUAAGGUAGCGAAAUUCCUUGUCGGGUAAGUUCCGACCCGCACGAAUGGUGUAACGAUCUGGGCACUGUCUCAACUACCCACCCGGCGAAAUUGUAGUACCGGUGAAGAUGCCGGUUACCUGCGGCAAGACGAAAGACCCCAUGGAGUUUUACUGUAGCCUGAUAUUGGGUUUCGGAAAUCUAUGUACAGGAUAGGCGGGAGACUUGGGAACAUGAGCGUCAGCUUGUGUGGAGUCGAUGUUGGGAUACCGCCCUUAGGUUUCUGGAAUUCUAACCUGCGGCCGUGAAACCGGUCGGGGGACAUUGUCAGGUGGGCAGUUUGACUGGGGCGGUCGCCUCCGAAAAGGUAACGGAGGCGCUCAAAGGUUAGCUCAGCACGGACGGAAACCGUGCCUCUGAGUGUAAACGCAAAAGCUAGCCUAACUGCGAGGGUGACGGCCCGAGCAGUAACGAAAGUUGGAGUUAGUGAUCCGGCGGUAUGUGAAUGGAAAUGCCGUCGCUCAACGGAUAAAAGCUACCCUGGGGAUAACAGGCUGAUCUCCCCCAAGAGUCCACAUCGACGGGGAGGUUUGGCACCUCGAUGUCGGCUCAUCACAUCCUGGGGCUGUAUUCGGUCCCAAGGGUUCGGCCGUUCGCCGAUUAAAGUGGUACGCGAGCUGGGUUCAGAACGUCGCGAGACAGUUCGGUCCCUAUCUGUCGUGGGCGCAGGAUAUUUGAGGAGCUCUGUCCUUAGUACGAGAGGACCGGGAUGGACGUACCUCUGGUGCACCAGUUGUCAUGCCAAUGGCACGGCUGGGCAGCUAUGUACGGAACGGAUAAACGCUGAAAGCAUCUAAGCGUGAAGCCGACUCCAAGAUUAGAUAUCCCAUCGUAUAACGAGUAAGACCCCUUGAAGACUACGAGGUUGAUAGGCUGCGUGUGUAAGUGCCGUGAGGCAUUCAGCUUGGCAGUACUAAUAGGUCGAGGGCUUGACU